rnacentral:rRNA from 1 species
GGAGUUUGGGCCGUGUCUCAGUCCCAAUGUGGCCGAUCACCCUCUCAGGUCGGCUACCGAUCGUCGACUUGGUGGGCCGUUACCUCACCAACUAUCUAAUCGGACGCGAGCCCACCCUUCACCGGAUUGCUCCUUUGACCCCUGAAUCAUGCGAUCCCGUGGUCUUAUGCGGUAUUAGUACAACUUUCGCUGUGUUAUCCCCCUGUGAAGGACAGGUUGCUCACGCGUUACUCACCCGUCCGCCGCUAAAACAUACAUCUUUGUCUCCAUCCGAAAACUUCAACUCCGUCGUAUGUCUCCGCUCGACUUGCAUGUGUUAGGCACGCCGCCAGCGUUCGUCCUCGAGCCACGGAUCAAACUACU